rnacentral:tRNA from 1 species
AGGAAAGUAGCUCAGCCGGUAGAGCAGUUGGCUUUUAACCAAUUGGUCAGUGGUUCGAUCCCACUCUUUCCUACCA